rnacentral:rRNA from 1 species
AUUGAACGCUGGCGGCAGGCCUAACACAUGCAAGUCGAGCGGAGCGGCCGACGAGAGAGUAAUGCCUAGGAAUCUGCCUGGUAGUGGGGGAUAACGUCCGUAAACGGGCGCUAAUACAGCAUACUAUCAGAUGACCCUAAGUCGAAUUAGCUAGUUGGUGGGGUAAAGGCCUACCAAGGCGACGAUCCGUAACUGGUCUUAGAGGAUGAUCAGUCAACCUGGAACUGAGACACGGUCCAGACUCCUACGGGAGGCAGCAGUGGGGAAUAUUGGACAAUGGGCGAAAGCCUGAUCCAGCAAUGCCGCGUGUGUGAAGAAGGUCUUCGGAUUGUAAAGCACUUUAAGUUGGGAGGCGUUACCGACAGAAUAAGCACCGGCUAACUUCGUGCCAGCGGCCGCGGUAAUUC